AAGUGUAUAACAAUAUAAAAUCAGAAAGGAUCUUGAUUUUAGUGGGUAAUGAUUAUGGGCCGUAUGUAAAUGAACAAGCCCGAAAACAAACCCUUAUAUGUUUGGAAACCCUGCGAAGAUUGCUGUAAACUGUGAUAUUUGAAUUUGAAGAUGAAGGUUUCAGAGACCAGGAACGCUCAUGGGAAGAGAAAAAUCGAUGUUAUCAUGAUUGAUGAUGAUGAAGACAACAAAUCUUAUGUUGACAAGAAGCCGCCGCCACCACCGCCGGCGAGUGUGAAGAAAAAUGAGGUUAUCGUGAUUGAUGACGACAACGACGACCAGAAGAAGGAGAAAAACGGUUCCGGUAUAGAUUGGGGGAAAUACUUUCCUCAAGACAUGGAGGAUGAAGAUUCUGAAGAUGAAGAUCAAGCUGUGAAGGCAUGGAAGAUGAAUAUGAAGAUGGAGAUGAAGCCAAUGAAGACAGGGAACGUUACGGUGACGAUUAAUGGGAUCCGUAUGCCGUCCACUGGAGGGUGGACGGGUUACGGUAAUUACGUUGGAGGUGGAGGUGGAGGUAAUUACGUUGGAGGUGAAGGUGGAGGUUACAGUUCCGGUGGAGGUGGAGGUAAUUACGUUGGAGGUUACAGUUACAGUUCCGGUGGAGGUUACGGUUCCGGUGGAGGCAGUGGCGGAUCCAGGACCCCAGGGUCAGGGGGUUCAAAUUUUUCAAAACAACAGAUUACUCCUUGAUGGUAUUAAGGUGGAUGUGGAAAUAUUUCGUUGAAGCUGUUUGUACUUUGGAGAAAUUGUUGAAGCAGUUUUUUACUUUGAAUUUUCAUUUUAGCUGCUGUCAUCAUUGUCUACAGUUUAGGAGAAUGAGAAGCUUUGUAGGGGGAUUGCAUAGGCUCAAGUGUUGAUUCUUCUGGUGAGAAAGAAGUGGAAGAAAGGGUAAUUGAAUCCUUUUUCAUGAUGCGGCCCAAGUUGCUUGCAUGUGUUACUUUUUUCCUAGGGAAAAUAGCUAGCUUAUAGAAUCUGUUAUUCAUGCCUAGGGGAAAAUAGCUAGCAGUUAGCUCUUUCUCAUGGAUGGAUAACAUUGGAAAUGAGCCUAAGUUUGAAUAUGAUAUUAGAUCUGAUGAUACUGGUGACGAAGAGCAUAGUGAUUUGGGUGAUAAGGAUGAUGUUGAGGACAUAUAUAUAGCUGAUAACAACCAUAAAAGAAUAUUAGACCCGUCGGCGGAUCAUAUACGCCAUCUAGAAUUUGACAGUGAAGAGGGAGCCUUGAAGUUUUACUUUGACAUAUGCAAAAUCUCAUGGUUGUCUUGAGGAAACAUGUCGUACAUUGAGAUUAUUGAGGGAGAGUAAAUAUGCGCGAAUCUGUAUGCAAUAGAGAGGGAUUGGAAAUAAAAAGCACUAUAUGAGGUUAGAUAGAAAAUGAGAGCAUAGAUUAAUAACUCGCACAAAUUGCAAAGCUAGGCUCCGUGUUCUCCAAGAUUACAAGACAAGAAAAUGGAGAGUGGUGGCAUUUGAAGAGUUUAAUAAUCAUGGAUUAACCCUGACUACAUAUAUGCAUUUGGUCCCUGCUCACUGUGCCAUGAAUGAAUACACUGGUGUUGGUUUUUCUAAAUAAGAUUUAUACAAUUUUCUUGACAACCAGAAGUGUGUUGAGAUUAAGAUAGGGAUGCAAAUGCUGCCUUGAGUUAUCUACGAUGUAAGGCAAACAAUGCCGGUCGUGAUGAACAAGUCUGGUGCUUUAAUUGAAUGGAAGAUGGAGAAAAGCUGAGGUUCAAGAUGAACAAGUAUGGUGAUCGGGGGAGAGAACUCCAUUUUUAUGAUAGAGAGAACACUGAAUCAGAAUCAGAGGGUGCGGCCACAGAAGAGGAAGAAGUAGCAGAGCAUUGCAAGAAGAGUAACAGACUCCAAGACUGAGACUAUAGUCCACAGCAUGUCUUCCAGUAAGACAAACAGAAAGAAACUCUCUAGAUAGGAAUUUUUUUUAUGAGUAUCACUUUUUGCUGCAUCCGUAUAAAGAAAAUUUACCCCCAAUUUUCACUCACACCUAGAGAGAGAUAUAAGAAAGAGUUGAGUGGAAAUGAAAUGGAAAAGAAAGUGAGUGUGAAUAAAUCAUAACACAAUAAUUAAUGGCUGUCAUUUUUAUUCAGGAGACAUUUUGGUGUGUUUAUUCCAUA